rnacentral:rRNA from 1 species
CGACCAGACUCCUACGGGAGGCAGCAGUGAGGAAUAUUGGUCAAUGGGCGCGAGCCUGAACCAGCCAAGUCGCGUGAGGGAAGACGGUCCUACGGGUUGUAAACCUCUUUUGCCGGGGAGCAACGGGCGUCACGUGUGGCGCCACUGAGAGUACCCGGAGAAAAAGCAUCGGCUAACUCCGUGCCAGCAGCCGCGGUAAUACGGAGGAUGCGAGCGUUAUCCGGAUUUAUUGGGUUUAAAGGGUGCGCAGGCGGAAUGUCAAGUCAGCGGUAAAAUUUCGGGGCUCAACCCCGUCGUGCCGUUGAAACUGUGUCCCUUGAGUGCGCGAAGGGUAGGCGGAAUGCGUGGUGUAGCGGUGAAAUGCAUAGAUAUCACGCAGAACUCCGAUCGCGAAGGCAGCCUACCGGCGCGCAACUGACGCUCAUGCACGAAAGCGUGGGUAUCAAACAGGAUUAGAUACCCCGGUACU